rnacentral:rRNA from 1 species
AUUGAACGCUGGCGGCAGGCCUAACACAUGCAAGUCGAACGAGUGGCGGACGGGUGAGUAAUGUAUGGGAAACUGCCUGAUGGAGGGGGAUAACUACUGGAAACGGUAGAUAAUACCGCAUACCAUACGCAGUGCCCAGAUGGGAUUAGCUUGUUGGUGGGGUAACGGCGCACCAAGGCGACGAUCCAUAGGUGGUCGGAGAGGAUGACCCGCCACACUGGAACUGAGACACGGUCCAGAAGCCUACGGGACGCAGCAGUGGGGAAUAUUGCACGAUGGGCGAAAGCCUGAUGCAGCCAUGCCGCGUGUAUGAAGAAGGCCUGCGGGUUGUAAAGUACUUUCAGCGGGGAGGCGUUACCCGCAGAAGAAGCACCGGCGAACUCCGUGCCAGCAGCCGCGGUAAAC